rnacentral:rRNA from 1 species
GCACGAGUCCUUAACUGACGCUAAAGCUCGAAAGUGCGGGUAUCGAACAGGAUUAGAUACCCUGGUAGUCCGCACGGUAAACGAUGGAUGCCCGCUGUUGGCGAUAUACAGUCAGCGGCCAAGUGAAAACGUUAAGCAUCCCACCUGGGGAGUACGCCGGCAACGGUGAAACUCAAAGGAAUUGACGGGGGCCCGCACAAGCGGAGGAACAUGUGGUUUAAUUCGAUGAUACGCGAGGAACCUUACCCGGGCUUGAACUGCAGGGGAACGAUCCAGAGAUGGUGAGGUCAGCAAUGACUCCUGUGGAGGUGCUGCAUGGUUGUCGUCAGCUCGUGCCAUGAGGUGUCGGCUUAAGUGCCAUAACGAGCGCAACCCUUUUCUCUAGUUGCCAUCAGGUUAAGCUGGGCACUCUGGAGACACUGCCACCGUAAGGUGUGAGGAAGGUGGGGAUGACGUCAAAUCAGCACGGCCUGACAUGAGGUGUGUACACACCUGUUACAAUGGGUGAUACAGAGAAUUAGUCGUUCGCAAGAACGGUUUAAUCAAGAAAGUCAUCGUCAGUUCGGAUUGGGCUAUGCAACCCGACGACACAAGCUGGAU